AACGAACGCUGGCGGCAGGCUUAACACAUGCAAGUCGAGCGCCCCGCAAGGGGAGCGGCAGACGGGUGAGUAACGCGUGGGAAUCUACCCUUUUCUACGGAAUAACGCAGGGAAACUUGUGCUAAUACCGUAUGAGCCCUUCGGGGGAAAGAUCUAUCGGGAAAGGAUGAGCCCGCGUUGGAUUAGCUAGUUGGUGGGGU
rnacentral:rRNA from 1 species